CCUACGGGUGGCUGCAGUGGGGAAUAUUGCACAAUGGGCGCAAGCCUGAUGCAGCCAUGCCGCGUGUGUGAAGAAGGCCUUCGGGUUGUAAAGCACUUUCAGCGGGGAGGAAGGCGUUAAGGUUAAUAACCUUGUCGAUUGACGUUACCCGCAGAAGAAGCACCGGCUAACUCCGUGCCAGCAGCCGCGGUAAUACGGAGGGUGCAAGCGUUAAUCGGAAUUACUGGGCGUAAAGCGCACGCAGGCGGUCUGUCAAGUCGGAUGUGAAAUCCCCGGGCUCGACCUGGGAACUGCAUUCCGAAACUGGCAGGCUAGAUGCUUGUAGAGGGGGGUAGAAUUCCAGGUGGAGCGGUGAAAUGCGUAGAGAUCUGGAGGAAUAACGGUGGCGAAGGCGGCCCCCUGGACAAAGACUGACGCUCAGGUGCGAAAGCGUGGGGAGCAAACAGGAUUAGAUACCCGAGUAGUC
rnacentral:rRNA from 1 species